rnacentral:rRNA from 1 species
GCAGCCAUCCUUUAAAGAAAGCGUAACAGCUCACUGGUCUAAUUAAGAGAUCCUGCACCGAAAAUGUAACGGGGCUCAAAUCAUUUACCGAAGCUUUGACAAUUACUUUUAGUAAUUGGGUAGCGGAGCGUUCUGUAAGCCUGUAAAGGUGAUGCGUAAGCAUUGCUGGAGGUAUCAGAAGUGCGAAUGCUGACAUGAGUAACGAUAAGAAAUGUGAAAGACAUUUCCGCCGAAAUCCUAAGGUUUCCUGCGUAAAGCUAAUCUGCGCAGGGUUAGUCGGCCCCUAAGACGAGGGCGAAAGCCGUAGUCGAUGGGAAGCAGGUUAAUAUUCCUGCACCAGCUGGUAGUGACGGAUGAAGUAAAUUGUGAGUUCUUACUGGAUUGAACUUGCUGUGAAUUUGUCCCUGGAAAUAGCUCCAGCAUUAGACCGUACCAAAACCGACACAGGUAGGAGGGUAGAGAAUACCAAGGCGCUUGAGAGAACUAUGUUGAAGGAACUCGGCAAAUUACACUUGUAACUUCGGGAUAAAAGUGACCUGCUAUUGGGCAACCAGUAGGAGGUGGCACAGAAGAGGGGGUAGCGACUGUUUACUAAAAACAUAGCACUAUGCAAAGUCGAAAGACGACGUAUAUGGUGUGACGCCUGCCCGGUGCCGGAAGGUUAAUAGGAGGGGUGCAAGCCCUGAAUUGAAGCCCCGGUGAACGGCGGCCGUAACUAUAACGGUCCUAAGGUAGCGAAAUUCCUUGUCGGGUAAGUUCCGACCUGCACGAAUGGCGUAACGAUUUCCCCACUGUCUCCAACAUAGACUCAGUGAAAUUGAAUUCUCGGUUAAGAUGCCGAGUAACCGUGGUUAGACGGAAAGACCCCGUGCACCUUUACUGCAGCUUUGUAUUGGUAUUAGGGAACAGAUGUGUAGCAUAGGUGGGAGACUUUGAAGGAGUGGCGCUAGCCAUUCUGGAGUCACUAGUGAAAUACCACUCUUCUGUUCCUUGAUGCCUAACCAUACACCGUCAUCCGGUGUUGGGACCAUGCAUGGUGGGCAGUUUGACUGGGGCGGUCGCCUCCCAAAGAGUAACGGAGGCGCGCGAAAGGUAGGCUCAGAACGCUUGGAAACCGUUCGUCGAGUGCAAUGGCAUAAGCCUGCCUGACUGCGAGACCCACAAGUCGAGCAGAGACGAAAGUCGGUCAUAGUGAUCCGGUGGCACUUCGUGGAAGGGCCAUCGCUCAACGGAUAAAAGGUACGCCGGGGAUAA